rnacentral:lncRNA from 1 species
GGUCCGUAUAGUUAAAGCUAUGGUUUUCCCAGUAGUGAUGUAUGGAAGUGAGAGCUGGACCAUAAAGAAGGCUGAUUGCCGAAGAAUUGAUGCUUUUGAAUUCUGGUGCUGGAGGAGACUCUUGAGAGUCCCAUGGACUGCAAGAAGAUCAAACUUAUCCAUUCUUCAGGAAAUCAGCCCUGAGAAGGACAAAUCCUGAAGCUGAGACUCCAAUACUUUGGCCACCUCAUGAGAAGAGAAGACUCUCUGGAAAAGACCCUGAUGUUGGGAAAGAUGGAGGGGACGACAGAGGAUGAGAUGGUUGGACAGUGUCCUUGAAGCUACCAGCACGAGUUUGACCAAACUGCGGGAGGCAGUGGAAGACAGGAGUGCCUGGCGUGCUCUGGUCCAUGGGGUCACGAAGAGUCAGACACGACUAAACGACUAAACAACAACAACAACAAAUGGACAAUAGCAGUGGCGGAGCUUCAUGCUCUGGCACCGGGGGGGCGGAGAGCAGGCGGGGCGGGGCGGGGCACGCUGCCUGCAGUGGUGUGGCGCCCAGUGCAGGCAGUGAGGAAGCCACGAUGGCACCCUGCCGGGAUCGCGCUGCUGGGGGUGGUGCGCUCCCCCAGCACUCCUCUUCCUCCGCCAGUUGACAAAGAUUCACAAAAUGUUUUGGGGUAUGCGUCCCCCCAGGAAAAAAGCACUGGGUUUGCGUUUUAUUAUUUAUACUCUGCGCAUCUCACUGAGUUGCCCCAUCCACUCUGGGUGGUUUCCAACAUAUAAAAACACAUAAUAAAACUUCAAACGUUAAAAAAACUUCCCUGUAGUUACUUAUCCCCUUGGCUCAGGGACUGCAUAACUCCAACAUUUCUCUGAUGGAAAUAGGGAUGUUUGAAGGAAAAGCACGACAUUCCAGGAUAAAAUCGGAAACUUGGGUGGUUUCUGUAAAUCCAGGACUGUUCCUUGAAAAUAGGGACACUUGGAGGGUCUGCGACUCACUGGCAGAGGAGUGCAGGGGGAGCACACCACUCCCGGCAGAGGGAUCCCAGUAAGGUGCCAUAGCGGUUGCCCCCUGCCCACGCUAGAUGCCACGCUGCUGCAGGUGGUAUGCCCUGCCCCCAGGAUGCAUGCCAUGCCCCUGUGGGUGGCUCACCCCGCCCCCGGGACAUGCACCAGCCCCGCCCCUGCCUGCUCUCCACCCCCCAGUGCCGGAGUAUGAAGCUCCACCACUGCUGGGACUGGCUUCCAUUUCUACAUGUUAAGAGUGUCCUAGGUAAAGGUAAAGGGACCCCUGACCAUUAGGUCCAGUCGUGACCGACUCUGGGGUUGCGGUGCUCAUCUUGCUUCAUUGGCCAAGGGAGCCGGUGUACAGCUUCCGGGUCAUGUGGCCAGCAUGACUAAGCCACUUCUGGUGAACCAGAGCAGCGCACGGAAACGCCGUUUACCUUCCUGCCGGAGCGAUACCUAUUUAUCUACUUGCACUUUGACGUGCUUUUGAACUGCUAGGUUGGCAGGAGCAGGGACCGAGCAACGGGGGCUCACCCCAUCGUGGGGAUUCGAACCACCAACCUUCUGAUUGGCAAGUCCUAGGCUCUGUGGUUUAACCCACAGCACCACCCGCGUCCCCAAAAAUGUCCUAGUUCUGAUUAAAUGUAAGGUAUUGGAUGUCUUUAUAAUAGAUUUAGGAAAGAUUUAGGAAACUUAUUGAUUAGAAUAUUUGUGUGAGAUUGUAUGGGAAAAAUACGGAAUAACAGAUACAAUCUUGCUUAAAAUGUAUAUAGGAAGUGCAGUGCAAGCGAUGGAAGUCAAUCAAUGAAAUUUUAUUAUUAUUUUCAUAUUGAGAUAUUUGUAGAAUCAACUUGGAAGAAAUUCUUCCAACUUUUCUUCUUCUUCUUUUCUCUUUUUUUCUUCUUAUUUUUCUCGCUUUUGUUCCUUUUUUCAUAAAUAUGUGCUUAUUUAAAAUAUAUAUGUAUGUAUAGAUUUGCAAUAUUUUGCUUAUAUUGUGUAAUUUUUUUAAAAAAAUAUUUUUUUAAAAAUUGUCCUAGUUCUGUGUGUUGCUAUAAAAACAAAACAAAAGAAAAACCCCAGUUGUUUCCAAUGACUUGCCAUUUGUGAGUCUCUGCUUUAUAUAUAGUUUGACUUCCAAAACAUUUGGAAACCAAAGUGCAGCUUAUGAAGCUCCUGUAGCCAAUCGGAAGCCACAGAAGCCCCGUCGGAUGUUCAGCUUCCAAAAGAACGUUUGAAAACCGGAACACUCACUGUGCUGAUUUGUUUGGGAGCCUGAGCAUUUGCGCCUGAGGCACUGAGCAGUGGUACAUUGGGGAUAUUGCCUGGCUUGCUGGUACAGUGAUCAGUCUCGUGUCAAGCCUGAUGCCAGCUGGUGUCAGCUGUGAGAAAGAGCUUGGGAUCCAGUGGAUCCCAAUCCAACUCAGCCCUGCCCUCAGAAUGCCCCAUUCGGGGGCUUUCCACAAGGCUCUGCUAACUGCCAGUGGGUCUUUUUGCCUGUCCUUGAGCAUAGGGCAGAGGUCUACACCAGUAGGAGAUCAGAUGAGCCAGCAGAAGUGAGAGGAAGGAUGCCCCAGUUGAAUCCAAAUAGGCUCAUAGUCUGACAGAAGGGGAGUUUGAAUUGCAGCCCAAAGCCCAGAUGUUGUAGAAUGGCACCGUUUUCAAGUGUGACUCAUGUUUCAGAAUUUUGUAAGGCACAUUUUCUCCCAGGCAAAGGAUAGGAAAACAAUAUUUGAACCUCUGAGACUUCAGUGGCAGUAAAAUGAGGGUGUUUUUUGUCAUUGUAUUGGAGGUGAAUCAGAUCAAGAAGAAACCUCGCUGAGAGAAAUUGCUGUUGUGUUUACUGAAAGCUCACCCAUAUUGUGCCUCUGACCCUCAACGUUGACCCGCUUUUAAAUGCAGGUGUAAUUUCCCCCCAUAUUAGUUUCUAGAAGCUCUUGUAAUCUUAAAAAGACAGCUUAAAUUGCUUCCAUUGAAUAUAUUAUUUUGAAGGCAUCUUAUGAGAGAUUUGUCAGCGGCGAGGGAGGAGAAUUUGGAUCUCAAGCCUGCUGGAUACUAUUUAACAAGGUCACAUAUUUUAUUUAUUUUUUGAAUUUAUAUACCGCCCUAUAGCCAGAGGUCUCAGGGUGGUUCACAGAAAAGAUCACAAUAUAUAAAAUAAAAAUAGAAACAAUAACCCAAUAACACCUCCCAAUAAAGAGCCACAUUUUAAAAGGGUAUAGGAUGUCGAUCAGGUAAACCAAAGGCUCGGUUAAAAAGGAAUGUUUUUGCCUGGUGCCCAAAGGUGUAUAAUGAAGGCACUAGGCAAACUUCCAUGGGCAGAACAUUCCACAGAUGGGAAGCCACUGCAGAGAAGGCCCUGUUCUCGUGUUGCCACCCUCUGGACCUCUUGAGGAGGAGGCACACAAAGAAGGGCCUCAGAAGAUGAUCUCAGGGUCCAGGUAGGUUCAUAUGGAAAGUGGCAUUCUUGAGGUAUUGUGGUUCUGAGCCGUAAUGUAUGAUAUCACAUGUGUUACAUCACUUCCUUACAUCACUUGUUUUAUUCUGGAGUCAUACAGGACAACAGGGGUGCCUGAGAUGAGAAGGGUGUAAUUAUAAAGAGAUAAUUCUGAGGACUUUUGAUGUUCUCUGGGUCUAACCAUGUAUGAGUGUUGAGGCCCUUCUCCAGCUUCUCUCACCUAAAGCAGUGAAACAGGUGAUUACUAAGGAAGCAGGUGACACCCUGAUGAUGGAAGGUGCUCCAUAAGAAGAUUCACCUGCCACCUAGGAUUAGAAAAGCCAUUGCUAUUCUAGGCUGCAUCAACAGAAGUAUAUAAUAAUAAUAAUAAUAAUAAUAAUAAUAAUAAUAAUAAUACUAUUCUACUCUGCCUUGGUCUGACCACACCUGGAACACUAUGUCCAAUUCUGGGCAUCACAAUUUUUUUUAAUAUUCGGUUUGAAGUCACCCAGAGUGGCUGGGGAAACCCAGCCAGAUGGGCGGAGUAUAAAUAAAUUAUUAUUAUUAUUAUUAUUAUUAUUAUUAUUGAUGUUGACAAGCUGGAAUAUGUGCAGAGGAGGGCAACCAAGAUGAUCAAGAUGUCUGACCACAGUGAGUAAAAGAAAAGAAAAUAUACCGUAUUUUUCGCUCUAUAAGACACACUUUUUUCCUCCUAAAAAGUAAGGGGAAAUGUGUGUGCAUCUUAUGGAGUGAAUGAAGAGGCUUUGCGUUGCUUUUGCUGAAGCCUGCACAGCAAGAGGGAGAGCUGCACAGUGCCUCUUGUUGUGAUGCCUUAGCCUGAUCCUCCAUCCUCCUUCCUCUUCAACAACAUUUGAUUCAGAAUAUAUUUUUUUCUUGUUUUCCUCCUAUAAAACUAGGUGCAUCUUAUGGUCUGGUGCGUCUUAUAUAGAGAAAAAUACGGUAUCUAUUUUCCCAAUACUGUUUGGUCAAUUGCUGCAAGAGGCACCACAUCCCAACUAAAAAGGUAGAAGGGAAAGGACCCCUGUUCUCAGGAAGGUUCAGAAGAAGGGGGUCGGUCCCCACCAUUCCGUCUCAGUCCAGCCCCUGACACUUAGUUAAGGAACCUACUUUUUUGCCUAGAGGUAAAGGUAAAUACCCCCUGGACAGUUAAGUUCAGUCAAAGGCGACUAUGGGUUGCGGCGCUCAUCUCAAUUUCAGGCUACAGGACCCAGUGUUUGUCCACACACAGCUUUCCGGGUCAUGUGGCCAGCAUGACUAAACCUGUUCUGGUGCAACAGGAUCACUGCGUCGGAAGCUAGAACACAGGGAAAUGUCGUUUACCGUCCUGCCACAGCGGUACCUAUUUAUCUACUUGCACUGGUGUGCUUUUGAGCUGCAAGGUUGGCAGAAGCCAGCAGCAGAACAACAGGAGCUCACUCCGUCACAGGGAUUCAAACCACUGACCUUCCAAUCAGCAACUAACCCCUGUGAACAUGAGCAUUCUCUUUGGGUGCUCUGGUUUUGAUAUUGAAAUUGUAUUCAUUGACUUGUUCAAAAGCUGACAAGUGCAGAGUAUUCCCCGUGUAUUUCUUGUUUAGUGUCUCUACCCAACAGAUGGAAUUUUAUGCCAUGCAGCAUUAGGCUACUGUUAAAUUUUAAUUUCAAUUAAUGGUCUUUACACUCUUUCUUUACACACGAGGGAUAUUUUGUGCAUUCAUUUCCCUUCUAAUUAGCUUUUGCUGCUGAAUUCACUCUGAAUCUCCGGAAGUCAUUAGAUUCUUAAACAUUCACAACUGAAUUUACUGACUUUAAUAAAAUUAAUUGGUUCUCCGCAGGAGAAAAACAUUGCCAAAAAUUUGAUUCACCUAGUAUUCUUUGUUGUGUUAGUGUACUUCUGCAUUCCAUUACACUACCUCUUCUGUUAUUGUUGUUUAGCUCACCUUAUCUCUCACAUAAUAGGAACGUAGGUGCUUUGGCUUCUUUAAAGAAACACAGUCCAUUUCAAUUUUUUUACUACCAAUGUUGAGCUACAAGCUAUGGAUUUUGGUUGAGAAGUCUUUUAUUCUACAGGUUUCCUUGAGAAUAAUAUUCAAGGCCAUAUGCAUAGGGACAUAAACAUCUGCCUUAUGUAGGAACAUCUACCAAUGUUCCGUUGCGGGUGGAGCUGUGGUCUAAACCACUGAGCCUCUUGGGCUUGCCGAUCAGAAGGUUGGCGAUUCGAAUCCCCACAACGGGGUGAGCUCCCGUUGCUCUGUCCCAGCUCCUGCCAACCUAGCAUUUCAAAAGCAUGCCAGCAGAAGUAGAUAAAUAGGUACUGCUGCUGUGGGAAGGUAAAUGGCAUUUCCAUGCACUCUGGUUUCCAUUACGGUGUUCUGUUGCACCAGAAGCGGUUUUGUCAUGCUGGCCACAUUAACUGGAAAGCUGUCUGUGAACAAACACUGGCUCCCUUGGCCUGAAAGCGAGAUGAGCACUGCAACCCCAUAGUCGCCUUUGACUGGACUCAACCGUCCAGGUCCUUUACAUUUACCUACCUCAGUGUUCUCUACACUGACUGGCAAUGGCUGUCUAGGUCUGUCUAGACCUAGACUAGGGCUGUCUAAUGUCCUAAAGAGGGCAUUCCCAGCUCUACCUUGAGAUGCCAGGGCUUGAGCUGGGAAAAUUUGGCAUGCAAAACUAGUGCCAUACCACCAAGCUAUGACCCUUUCCAAGGAUGAGGGUUAAACUACACGUGAUGUGAAAUGCAUCAUCAGAAAGCACAUCUUUUAUUCUUACUUUGAAUCAUAGAAUCAUAGAAUUGUAGAAUUGAAAGGGACAAUGAGGGGCAUCUCGUUCAACCCCUUGCAAUGCAAUAAAUCUUUUGCCCAGUGUGGGGCUCCUACCCACGAUCCUGAGAUUAAGAUUCUCAUCUUCUACCGACUGAAGAUCAAAUGUGAGGGGGCACCUAUAGAAGCUUCUCUUCCGUAGCAAGCAAGCCGCAACUAUGGAGUUUCCAUUGGACUGUGAUGGGAGAAAUAAAGGGUCAAACCUCUCCUUCCCGUAUACUGUGGUUCUGAUUAAAAUUAAGGGCCCUAGUGCCCAGUACUACUAUUUUUUAAGACAUGUUUCCAAUGAUGCAUUUAACAUCAUGUCUAGCUUAGCCCUAAAAGGGACCGCAUGCUUGGUGUGAAGGUAUGAAAUGGAGGCAUGACACAUACAGAGAGAUAGAGUGUCAAAUCAUAGAGCUCUUUUACUUUUUGCUAGAGGCGAUAACAUGUGGCAGGGCAAAAAACUGGCUGGCUAGCUAGGGUGCCUUCUUAGGAGGGAUGCCAAGGAAACAAAGCAAACUGGGAUCCUCUAGAUCAGGGGUAGGCAACCUAAUCCAGCCCAGUUGCCUUCUAAAUCUGGUCCGCGGACUGUCCAGGAAUCAGCAUGUUUUUACAUGAGUAGAAUGUGUCCUUUUAUUUAAAAUGCAUCUCUGAGUUAUUUGUGGGGCAUAGGAAUUCAUUCAUUCCCGCUCCCCAGUAUAGCCUGGUCCACCACAUGGUCUGAGGGAUGGUGGACCAGCCCACGGCUGAAAAAGGUUGCUCACCCCUGAUAUAAGGGGUCAGAUGAUCUUUCAGGGAUCUAGAUCUUAUCACCUAUUCCUGUGGAAAUUUCUGCAGGUAUUCUGGAGGCCCCUACUUCCUGCUCUGGCAGAGGUGUGGAACUUAUGCUGCAUUCAAAAACCGCUCCAUCAUCCUUGGGCUAGAAUAUAUAAAUUUACGGAAGGCCCUGUUGGAUUAGACCAAAGGCCCAUCCAUACCCUCCAACAUAUUAUAGCCCAAAACUGGGCCACACAUCUUCCGCACUCCCGGGUGAAUCACAUGACCCUCCUGAGAGUACAGAGCCCAAAAGCACAUAUUUCUGGGCAACAUGCUCUCGCAUGUUUUUAGGUGAGCAUGUCUCAAUUCAAUCAGGACAGUUGAGGAGCAUUCCCAUCUAGUCUAGCAUGCUGUUCUUACAGUGGCCAGCCAGAAGCCUAUGGGAAAUCUGAAAGUUUGGGAUUACAGCUUCAGCAAAAUUAUGUCAUUUUUUAAAAUGACCUUACCAAUGAAGUCAGAUACAACAACAAUAACAGAAAUUGGACCCCACCUCAAAUGGCACAUUCUCCUUUUUCUUAGAUAUUAUUUACAAGCAUGGGGUCUGGGGAAGUCAAUUCUGUGCCAUUAACAACGCGAUUUGACUUCGCCACAACAAAUUUGCAGGCAUUGCUCUAUUCUAACAUGAAACAAAAAAGUAAGUGCAUGCAUUUAUAUAUUUAAAAAAGGCAUGGGCACAAAGCAUGGUGCAACCUCAUUUUGUGUUAUUCAUACUCACGAAUAGUGAAAUAAAAUAAUGUUAUCAUUCCCCCACUCUCGCUUCAGUCUUUUAAAAAUGCUGAUGGAGACAAAAGGCUGCCUCUCAAAAGCAGAUGAUCUGAAGAAAAGGAUUGGUGCUAAUUGAAAAGCUUUAAUUUUCUCUCUCUUUCCAAAGCAGUUAUGUGCUUUUGUCUACAGUUUUUGCAUAAAUGGCUUUAAACAAUGGCUGCUCCAGAUUUAUGAAUUUAUCAGACCAGAAUUUAAAUAGCUCCAAGAAAUCAGAUCAGUCAAAAGAAAUAAUAAUAAUAAUAAUAAUAAUAAUAAUAAUAAUAAUAAUAAUCAGCCACCUGUUCCAAUUAACACAUUCAAUUUUAUCUUUGAGCAUUUUCUCCUCUGUCCAUGCUCCUAUUCUGAAUGAAGAAAUUCAUAAAGACCAAUCUCUUAUUUUGCUAUUUCACUGAGGACAAUGGUGAAAUCUUAAGCCAGAUUAUUCUUAUUCUCUGCUCAGAUUUAAACACACACACACACACACACACACACACACACACACACACUUUUCCAUGGAAAGAAAGACACUCAGUAACAUAUUCUUAAAUAUCUUUGUAUAAUUUUGAAACUUUUCUGUGUUUCGAAGUGCUGAGCAAACCGUUCUCUGAAAUUUACACGUGUUUAUUGCCUUUUCUUUUUAAGCAAGUGUCUUGAGGCAGCCCUGCUUCGCAUAAACAAUACUGACUUCAUUACCAGCUCAGUUUCGUGCGCAAGCAGAUCAGUUGCUGCCAUAAUAUUGUCUGGGGUGCAUUUCCCCCCUUAUCCCUUCAGCUUUUGUUUGGGAUCAUUUUAUGGUGCCAGUAACUCUCUGGCCUCCUUGGGUUGUUGUCUUUUAUUGUCUGCAUUUGCCAGCUGCAAUUACAAAGGCUGCCUUUUAAAAGCACGAGUUGUUAUGAGCAGGGGAAAUGAGGAUUUUCUGCACAUAUAUUCUUCCCCACCCCAUCAGAAGAUUAUCAUUCCUGAGUCAUAUUAGCCCCAUUAAACUCGAAAGUAAUGCAAAAUUUGAAAUAAUCCUUAAUAUUAAACUCUAACACAAGACUGAUUGUUUGGAUUUAGCUCUCACCUUCACCCCUCUUAUUGUUAGUAAUGUGAGGAAUAAUGGUCAAAGUGCAGUUCUUGAUUCCAGAAAAUUCAUUGUUCUUGUUGAAGCUGUACAGGUGCUGUGGGUUAAACCACAGAGCCUAGGACUUGCCGGUCAGAAGGUCGGUGGUUCGAAUCCCCAUGAAGGGGUGAGCUCCCGUUCAGUCCCUGCUCCUGCCAACCUAGCAGUUCAAAAGCACGUCAAAGUGCAAGUAGAUAAAUAGGCGGGAAGGUAACCGGUGUUUCCGUGUGCUGCUCUGGUUCGCCAGAAGCAGCUUGGUCAUGCUGGCCACAUGACCCGGAAGCUGUAUGCCGGCUCCCUUGGCCAAUAAAGCGAGAUGCGCGCAGCAACCCCAGAGUCGGUCACGACUGGACCUAAUGGUCAGGGGUCCCUUUACCUUUACCUUUUACAGCCAUUAUCUGACCAACCAGUGGUUAAACUGAGUCCAGGAGCACUCAAUCUGCAAGCUUGGUUUUUCUGCAUGAGUGCAGCCUCAUCCAAAGCAAACUGUGUACCUCACCUUGGUUUAACUUCACUAUCAAUCCAAAAUAUAUUUGUCAGAUCAAAGAAAAUAUAUACAGUGGUACCUCGGGAUGCGAACGGGAUACGUUCCGGAGCCCCGUUCGCAUCCUGAAUGGAACGUAAGACACUACGGGUUAUUAUUAUUUCCUAUCUUUAAAAGACAUCUGAAGGCAGCCCUGUUCAGGGAAGUUUUUAAUAUUUAAAGCUGUACUGUUUUUAACAUUUGAUUGGGAGCCGCCCAGAGUGGCUGGGGAAGCUCAGCCAGAUGGGCGGGGUAUAAAUAAUAAAUUAUUAAAUUAUUAUUAUUACGGUGUGUCUGCGCAUGCGUGGUUGCGUUUUGCCGCUUCUGCGCAUGCACAUGACAACAUUUUGAGCGUCUGCGCAUGAGCGAGCGGCGAAACAUGGAAGUAACGCACUCCGUUACUUCCGGGUUGCCGCAGAGUGCAAUCCGAAAGUGCUCAACCUGAAGCACAUUCAACCCGAGGUAUGACUGUACCUCUCUGUGAUUUUGAUGGGGAAAUGGAGUCAUGCUAUGCACAGAAUCUACAUCAGGGAUGGAGAAUUCAGAUUCCAGCUGUAAAUUUCUGACAAUAAGAGCAAUUCAACAGUGGAACAGACUCCCUCAGGAGGUGGUGGCAUUUCCUUCAUUGGAGUUUGCUAAGCAGAAGUUGGAUGGCCAUCUGUCAUGGAUGUUUUAUUUCAGGAUCCUGUCAUGGAUCCUGCAUUUCAGAGGGUUGGAUCAGAUGACUCUUGAGAUCCCUUCCAACUCUACAAUUCUAUGAUUCUAUGUUUCCUGGAUGCCUGCAGGACCCAUAAUGAUAUCUGAGAUCACCGGGUUAUUGGCAAAGCUUGAGAGACCGCAUAGUUAUGUCCAACAAAAAAGCAUUGAUACAAAUGAAUGUUUAAUGUAGUUUGGGCUACUUUGCUGCACAACUCAAUAGUAGUAUUAACCAGUGUUGUGCAGCUUCAUUACCACCUAUAAAGGUAAAGGUACCCCUGACCGUUAGGUCCAGUCGCGGACAACUCUGGGGUUGCGGCGCUCAUCUCGCUAUACUGGCCGAGGGAGCUGGUGUUUGUUGGCAGACAGCUUCCAUGUCAUGACAGCUUCUUAGCAUGACUAAGCCGCUUCUGGCAAACCAGAGCAGUGCACGGAAAUGCUGUUUACCUUCCCACCUAUUCAUCUACUUGCACUUUGAUGUGCUUUCGAACUGCUAGGUGGGCAGGAGCUGGGACUGAACAAUGGGAGCCCACCCUGUCGUGGGGAUUCGAACUGCCGACCUUCCAAUAGGCAAGCCCUAGGCUCUGUGGUUUAGACCACAGCGCCACCCACGUCCCUAUCACCACCUAUGCAUACCAACAAAAGAUGAAGUCUUUGUUCUGCAUGACUUAAUCUUAACCUUAUCUCUGUCUGUCUCAGAGUUGUUGAAUAGCAAACAUUAUAAUAAUGAUAGAGAUUAAAAUGUUAGCCCGAAGUCACAUACCUGAUACAAUAGAUGAAUCUUUAAUUCAGCUUCAAAAUUGCUAAAAUAAUGUUAAAUUCAAAUUUUUCUGCACCAGCGAGCAAUAGCUCAUCUAGAAAAGAAAUGACGCAUGUUUAAUUCAUCACUUCAAAUGUGUUAGUGGUUUGGGGAGAUUUUAAUUCCACCUUUUCCUUUGGUAAUUGGCGGCAUGUCUAGCAAAAAGUCACACCAACAGCCACAGAGGAGAAAACAAGAACAAAACCACCCUCCCUCCCUUUUUUUCUUAGGCAAGUUAAAUGACAUAUACAUAAUUCAAUAACAAAUUCACUGUUGGUAGGGAAGUAAGCAAUAAAUAAAGUGGAAUAGGGCCGAGGCAUCAAUUUGUAAGACAUUUGACACAUACAGGGAUAGAGCAACCCUACUGGGAUGUGGGCGGGAGAAUCUACUGCACACCUACCACCACAUCCUAAGCCAUGGGUAAGCAACAUUGCACCCUCCAGAUGUUGUUGGACUCCAACUUCCAUCAGCCAUAGAUAUAAUGAUCCCUGGCAGACGACCAGUCGGAUAAACAGUAAUGAGACGCUUUCAGUUCUAUUUUGCUUUAUUUACAGAAGAAACACAUCAAGAGCAGGGCUUUCUGCUUCCACUCAGUAACAAUAGUUGGCUAAUCUGAAUCAGUGCUCUUCCCCCAGCAGGAAGGACGCCAGGGCCACAACUUUCUUCCCUGCCCCUUCCGCUGAUUUCUGAGCUUCCAACCCUUCAAGUUUGAGGGCUCAUGGCAGUGCUGGAUUUACGUAUAAGCUAAACAAGCUAUAGGUAAGGGCUCCAGUCUCUUGGGGGGCCCAAAAAAUUAAAGGGAAAAAACUGAAUGUACAUUUCCAAAAUAUAAGAUAAAAAACAAAUAAAAUAAAACCUACAUACAGCAACAGUGUCUUGUGUUGUGUAGGCUCCUAUGAUGUAAGUAACGGGCCCCGCCUGCUAGCCUGCUCCCUAAAACACCACUGGUUUGCUCAUUUCUAUAUAUAGGGUGCCUACAUUCUGCAUGUGCAAAUGGCUUUAGAUACCUAUUAGGUCCAUAAAUUACCAUAUAGCAUAUAUUCAACAGAAAAAACAGUGGGAAUUUGUUGUUGAAAAAGGACAGCUGGACAUAUAAAGGGCCCCAUUACCUCCAGUAGCUUAGGGCCUCCUCAAACCUAAAUCCGGCCCUGGCUCAUGGGUUGGCUUCCCCCCUCCCUGCUCCCAUUAGAUAUCAACUCUACCUCUGCUGGCAGCUGGGCUUUGCUCUGAACGUCUUCCAAUUCUCCCUCUCUUUCUGAGCUAAUAGAGGCUGCCCUGGAAGAAAGGGGGGCUGGCAGGGCCGUCUUACCCAUAGGCGCUAGAGGUGCGGGGCACCUGGGCACCGGGUUUUCAGGAGUGCCAGGCCGAGAGGCCGGGGCCCGAGAGUUGAGUCCGGGGAAGAGCCUGCCCAUCGGUUGGAGCGCCACAGCAGGCUCUUUUGCUGCGGGCGGCUCUGUGCCACGAGUUGGGGGGUGACCGAGGCUGUGAGAUGCUGAGGUGGCUUGCCGACUCUGCCCUCCUGCACGCCUGGGACUGGGCAACCUGGGGGGGAAUCUUUGCACCCUGGUGCCACAUAUGCUUAAGACAGCCCUGGGGGCUGGGCUGCUCAGUCUGGAAUGUGACAGCUCAUCUGCAGAGUCAGACGCUUCUACGCUUAACUCACUUUCCAAGGCUGACCACGUUCUUGACAAUCGACUACUUGGCCAAUGGUCAGGGAUAAUAGGAGGUAGAGUCCAACUUUCUCAUUGGCUGCCUCUGACUUUAGCCCUACUGGGCUUCUGCCAUUUUUUAAGUUCUUCAUCUUCUUCCCACCACAGCCACCACCAUCCCUGGCUCCUUUUGAAAAAUAACAAUGGUGGAAGUUGGAAGUCAAGAAAAUGGUGGUGAUAGGCAAGAGAAGUAUGGCAGCAAUGGGAGAAGCAGACCCUUCUAAGUGUCCCUAUUUUCCAGGGACCAUCUUAGAUUUACAGAAGCCAUCCCGGUUUCUGAUUUGAUCCCGGAAUGUCCCGCUUUUCCUUGGGACGUCCCUAUUUUCAUCGGAGAAAUGUUGGAGGGUGUGGAGUUAUCUGACACCCACACCCACGCCAACCAUCCUAAGGCAGCCCUGCAUAGGGAAGUUUUAAAAUAUUUAAUGUUUUAUUAUGGUUUUCUAUUUGUUGGAAGCCGCCUAGUCAGAUGGGUGGGGGUAUGAUGAUGAUGAUGAUGAUAGUCUCUAUUUUCAUUGGAUAAAUGCUGGGGGGUAUGGAGAAUGACCGCUCCCCGCUUAAAACGGGGGGCGCCCUUUGCGUGGAGGCGCGCAGCCCCUGGAUCUGGAGUGGCUCCAUCAGCAUAGGCUUGGCUUUGCCUUCCCUCAGGUGGGAUACCUGGAGGUCUCCGCCUACCUCAGUCAGUUGUCCAAUCCCAACUGGGGGAAGCGUUGCCAAGGAGACCUGGCCAGGUGGGGGAGGGAUUACCUGCCCACACAAUAGAGGGAGGAUCUUACCUGGGAAUCCUCACUUGGCUCCAGAGCUUCUCCCACCCUACCCACCCUCAGUUAAUGUCUUAUUUUGCAGGUUAACUUUUCUUCACAGGUAUGCGGGCGCUGCUACGUUAAGGUCGCUGUCAAAGGGCCGGAAAGGAAUUUCCCUGCAUUGGCAGGUUUCGCCUUUCCCGUAGCAAAACGUCACAACUUUGGCGGUAUCAGGCCUUGGGCGGAAUCCUUUAGUCCAUCUUCCUCUUUGCGGCGGCGAUACCAGGGUUCCCCGUUAAAGGGGUUUCUGAAGGGAGGCUUUGACCGUACGCCAAAAGGUCAUUAUUGCUCUCCCCUGCGGCGGCGGCGUAACGGGGGCGGCUAUCUCUGCUUGAACAUAUGUUCUCCAGAGCCAGCCCAUCCCCCCCACACACACUGGAUAACCCUGAUGCUCCCUAGGUCCCCGGCUGGGGACCGGGGAGGGAGAACGCCCAGUGCCUGAGCCAAGGUCUACCCACAUUUGAAAUUUAAUAAAGUUGUGGCCAAUUUAAUCCCAUAGCACGUUGUCUUGAGUCGUUAUUCCACAUGACAGGGGGGACCGCUCGGGAUCUGGGGACUCCGCCUGCCCACGCAAAUAUGUCCUUAUCACUACCCAAAAAAAGACUGGUUGCAAAUGGAGGCUUGGCAGCCCUCUAGAUUCUGAUGCUGCUUUGUGACAACAAGAUUAGAAUGCUGGUGGUUGCAUACCCCUAAACACUUUGUGAAUCUUUGUACUUUUGUCCAUUUACUGAAUUUCCCCCCCCCUGAUUUGAACUAUACAAUGGGGAUUUUUCUGGAGUCAAAAUGAGAGUACCCCUAAACAUUUUUUUGAGAAAAAAGCUGGAUAGAUAGAUAGAUGAUAGAUAGAAAGCCUCACUCCUGUAUUAAGCAGCUAUAUGCCUGACCAAAAUAUAUGUCCACCACUGCAAUUUUCAUGCUUCAUCUGUUGGAUUUCCCUCCUUUCAUCCAACAAGAUGGGACUUGACAGGGAAAGAUAACGACAAUUGAUUAAUUUAUUAUUAUCAUUUAUUGAUUUUAUAUCAAUAAAAUAAAGUUAGAUGGCAAGCCUACAAAGAAGAACCUUGACUUUACACACACUCUCUCUUUUGUGUUUCUCUCUGCCCUGGAGAAGAGCGGUCACUCCCCUCUGGGUGGUUGUGGACCUCUCUUCCGUCCAUCAUCUCCAGCAGCUAGGGCGAAAUGUUUUGCUGGUUGUCCCCCGGCUGGCAGAAUCAAGGAGCAGGGAUCCCCUGCCAAAAUGGGCCAAUCAAUGGCCCUGCUGUAUGGGCAGAGCCUUGUCAGCUGGCCAGUCAUUGGCUGCAGGCCAUGUCUGGUCAGCUAGGAACACAUAAAAGUUGGUUGGCCUGCCAUUCACAGCACAGCCAGCCAACUUGGUAGAUCAACAUCUUGGAGUUGGCUUGACCCUGAUGCAGUUUCAGCUGAAAUGGAUCUACAUGUCAGGAGUCCAGGUUCCCAGCUUGAUAACACAGUAAGCGUAGAUAAUUAAAGUGAGGAUUAAUUGCAAAAACAAACAGAUAACGCCAGACGGCUCGAACAAAGCCUCCAGCAUCAUUACUCAAGAUAACUCUUCUAAAGAGUCCUUCUGGGAUCUACAGAAGAUUUUGAACUUACAUCUCUUAAAUCUCCUGUUUUGCUUCCUGUCUAACUACCCUCCCAUUUGCUGACUCUUAGGACUUAGUGGGUCAGUUCCACCUUCUGAGAGGCUGCCUCUGAGACUCUUUGUGCCUUUUUGUGCUUCCCACGAGCUUUGGCUAUGUUCUAGCCUGAACUCCGUUACUGCCUUAUCAGAUGGCCCGUCAAGGUCAGGAAGAGCCGGAGUUUACAGCUGCCAGCUCUCCGCUGCCUGUCUCACAUCUAAGUCUCCCUAUUCCUGGCUGCUUUCUGCAGUUGGCUGCAUGCCUUCUUUUGGAGCUGACUCACUCCUGACACUACAUAUAUUGCCUGAGCCAAAGACCCACCUACACCUGUAAUCAAUAAAGUUGUGGCCAUUUUUAAUCCAGUUCAUUGUCUAUUUGAGUUCAUCCUAUCAUACCUCAAGGUACUCUCUGUGACGGCUGCCACAAAUGCACCCUCCUAUCUUUCUCUCCAGCUGCAAUUAUUUAGAGUAGAUAUCUCAACCAUAAAGUUGCUCCACCGGCACAAAGGCCCCUUGGAAAGGCACACAAGCAAACUCAUACAACAAUAAGAUUCGUGAUGGUAAAGCAGUUUGAGAAGUGCUUCCUAAUUUACUGUAGCCCUCCGAUAAUAAAUAGCCCAAGCUCAAGGAUAUACAGAUCCAUCUCAUUCCUCAAAGAUAUAGGCAGGAGGGUGUUUUGAAUCAGAGCCUUAAAAUCCCAUUGCAUGUACAAUCACAGCAUUCAUCAAAGACUCCUGGCAUAUCAUCCAUUAAGAAUACUGAAUGGAGGCAGAGCAAAGACGUUGAAAGGGAAAAUCUUUGACAGCCGCUGUGCUUUAUUUGUGGCAAAUAGUGUUUUGUGGAGUGUGGUUCCCCCCCCCUUCUCUUGAUAGGGACGAGUGAGAGAUUAGAAGUGUACCAUACAGUUAGUGCCAACAGAGCCUUUUCACACUGCUUUUACGCUAAAAUAUUUAGUUCUUCCAUUUGUGUUUUUAUAAUGUUUGGAUCUACACAGAUUAGGAAAGUCGUAUGUAUCUAUACAAACAUUGGGAUAUUGUAGAACCCCUUGAAGCAAUGUGACACAGAACACUGUAUAUCUGAAAUCCUGUAACUUUAUCUGUCACAAAAUAUUUGCGGUCUGAAGGGUAUCAACACGAGAACGGGCCUUUUCUGUAGUGCCUUCCCAUUUGUGGAAUGUUUUUCAUCAUAAUCUGGUGAACCGAGUUCGCUUUCUCGCUCCUCCACAUGCAGCUGCUGGGUGACCUUGGGCUAGUCAACACUUCUCUGAAGUCUCUCAGCCCCACUCACCUCACAGAGUGUUUGUUGUGGGGGAGGAAGGGAAAGGAGAAUGUUAGCCGCUUUGAGACUCCUUAGGGUAGUGAUAAAGCGGGAUCUCAAAUCCAAUCUCUUCUUCAUCUUCUUCUUGACUGGUGCCUUCAUAAUAUAUAUUUUAGACACCAGGCGAAAAUGUUCCUCUUCAACCAAACCUUUAGCUGGUUCUACAGCCUUUUAAAUGUGUCUGUGGGAAUGGGGGGAUAUUGUUCUGCUGCUUUGUUUCACUUAUUUAUUUGUUUUUAUCCUGUAUUUUGUUCUGUGAACUGCCCUGAGAUCUUAUGAUGAAGGGUGGUUUAUAAAUCUAAUAAAGACUGUGGUGUCUUUAUUCUUUUAGGAGGGAUUCAAGGGGUCUUACCUGGAAAAUAUUAGAACAUAUUUCAGUCUGGACCAGGCAGACUAAUUGCGUAUUGUCUUUAAGAAACUCACAUGAGUUUGCAACCAGUUUUCUGCUGUGCGUGAGAAGGGGAACGUAAACUCUGCUAAGUAAAGGAACUUGCUAGCACAAGUUAGGAAGGAUAUUAAUAUACAAUAUAUCCUUUCCUGCCACCCUGAACAUUGCCACAAACAAUGCAGUAACACUGGGGAAGCAUGGCAGAAGAAAUCCUAAGGACUGUCCAGUACAAAUCCACCACUAUUAUUGUGUCAAUGACACGUUGCAGAAUGUCCCUACAUAUAGACCAACAAUAGUUUGGAGAGGUCCGUAGUAUCCCGCCCCCAUUUCAAAUGUAUUUCUCUACACACAACUGGGCCACAACUGCUCUAUGCUGGGGGAAAUAAGUUAUGCAGAUAGGUCUCAUUUGAUAGCAACUUAUAUGUCCAAGGGCUUAACAAAAGGACCUUGCAAUCAGUUACUCUUGGAAGCUGGGCAUAAAGAGGCUGCAGCAAUGGUUUUUUUUUAUUCAGGAAGGUAUAUUAAUUAAAGUUAAUGAUAUAAAAUGGUUCGUCACCAACAUUUCCCAAUUAGACUGGGUCUAUGUGAAAGGUUGCCCUUUGACAUACAGUGGUGCCUCGCAAGACGAAAAGAAUCCGUUCUGUGAGUCUCUUCGUCUAGCGGUUUCUUCGUCUUGCGAAGCAAGUCCAUUGACGGAUUAGCGGAUUAGCGCUAUUAGCGGCUUUUAGCGGCUUUUAGCGGCUUUUAGCGGCUUAUCAGCUUAUCGGAUAAGCAGGUAAGCGGCUUAGCGGCUUAGAAAAAGGGGGGGAGGGAAAAAACCCCGCAGGAACUCGCAAGACACUUUCGUCUUGCGAAGCAAGCCCAUAGGAGAUUCGUUUUGCGAAGCACCUCCAAAACGGAAAACUCUUUCGUCUAGCGAGUUUUCCGUCUUGCGAGGCAUUCGUCUUGCGGGGCACCACUGUAUUGUUAUAGCAAUGCAAAAUGAAAGCUACUUGAGGCUUCUAUUUUGCUUUUAACCGGUUUUUAUUUAUUUAUUUUAAAAGGGCGACUCUCCUGACAUGUCUGUAAUUAAAAAUGCAAAAUGUCUGCAGUUCUGAAAGGAACUGUGUGGGUGCUCGAAGCAGACUUUACAGAAUUUAAUAGUGACUGUUCUGAAUUACUCUAGGAGCACCCAAGGAUUCAGCUGAAUGUGAUUACGAGCUCACUUUGGAACUUUCAGGGAGUUCAGCUAUGGAAUGUGCUCAUUCAGGAUGCCUGAGGACAUUGGGAGUGGGCUGGCACAUUUGUGCCAGUUGCCCCUUCCUUUCCAAUUUCACCCCUUAGGCGUGUUUUGCCAUUAUUAAUAGUUAAAAAGGUAAAAGGUAAAGGACCCCUGGACGGUUAAGUCCAGUCAAAGGCGUCUAUGGGGUUGCGGCGCUCAUCUCACUUUCAGACUGAGGGAGCUGGCGUUUGUCCACAGACAGCUUUCCGGGUCAUGUGGCCAGCAUGACUAAACCGCUUCUGACCCAAUGGGACACCAUGACAGAAGCCAGAUCGCACAGAAACGCCGUUUACCUUCCCACCACAGCGGUAUCUAUUUAUCUACUUGUACUGGUGUGCUUUCAAACUGCUAGAUUGGCAGGAGCUGGGACAGAGCAACAGGAGCUCCCUCCAUCACAGGGAUUUGAACUGCUGACCUUCCGAUCAGCAAGCUGAAGAGACUCAGUGGUUUAGACCACAGCGCCACAGGCACCUGCUGUAGAGGGAAGCGAGAAGCAGAUAGGGCUCGCAACCCAUCUAGGAGAAAGAAAACACUUCUUCUAAACCCAUGCUGUCUUGUGGGAUAUCUUCUGGGGAAUAAAAGGUUAAGGAGUAAGAUUCAUGCAAAUCCUUAAGACGGUUGAAUGGUGCCUUGUAUAGCACCUUCCAGCAACUCCUGCAGCCAAGCUGGUGCCAAACGUAUUGCUCUGCUUUCCUUUGGACCACAUCAGUGAGGCCGAGAAGGGGGUUCUUGUCAUCUGGGCAGUCCAGGACCUUCAUACACAAUGCUCAAGCUUGCAUCCUGUGGAGGUUGGUCUUCACCCCUGGAAGUGCUCUCCAUUGUCUCUCAAGACAGAUGGAUGCCAACCAGACCAUUGGUAUACCUAGCUCAGUACUGUUUAGCCUUAUGGGAAGCAGUUCUGCGGCCUUGCAGGCAGGGAAUUUUUCUCAGCCCUACCAAGAGCCUUAAAAAAUAACACCAAAAAAACCUGGGAUCUUUUUAAUGCCAAGGAUGUGCUCUGCCACUGACCUAAGACCCCCAGAGCUAUGUAGCUGAUGUCACAUGUCAAGCGAUAAGUGUUGCUGCUUGUCAGCUGUCACACACUGUCACAUGUUAAUUGCUACAUUGGCACUUGGAGUCAAAUGUUCCCAGCGACGGAGAGAAAAAACAACAACAUCAUUUUGUGCCAUGCAUCAAUUGGCAGGUGUCAGCUGGCGAUUCAUAUAAAAUUUUUACAUGCUGUCGAUCAAUUUUAACUAUCUUUUCUCUCUCUCUCUCUCUUUUUGCCAGAUAUCCCCAUACCCCCAAAAUAUUCACUCUGAAGUUCUAUCAAUGUUUCUUCAGUGAAUCCUGAAGAAUCAAUACUUACUUCUUAGUAAAAUAAAAUAAAAUAAAAUAGGAAGACUGCAGCAGAGAAGGUUGGUUGAGGGUUUUGUGGAAAAUGUUGGGGAAUCUAUUGAUUUCAGUGUCACUUUUUCAAUUUAAUCCAGUAUUACUAUAAUGAAAUAUUAGAUAUUUAAACACAGAGACUUCAGAAAUCACAUUUUUAAUAUGUAUACCUAAAACUGGAAGGCGACAGAAUAGUAGUAGUAGUAGUAGUAAUAAUAAUAAUAAUAAUAAUAAUAAUAAUAAUAAUGUCAUUAUUUAUAUGCCACUCAUGUGACUGUGUUGCCUCUAUCUCUCUGGGCAGAUGUGUAUCCUAUAACAAAGGGGAACAUUGUUUUGUUGUUUUUGUUUGUUUAUUUACUUGUGUUUUAUCUUGUGUUCUAUUCUGUGAACCGCCCUGGGAUCUCUUAAUGGAGUUUAGUACAUAAAUUUAAUAAAUAAUAAUAAUUCUUGUCACAAGAUUAUGGUUGGCUGCCAUUGGCCUGUUCUAGCAGGCUCUUCUUACAUUCUGGUAAAGACAUUUUUAUUCUGUCAGGCUUUUGUCUUCUGACUGUAUUAUACAUGAAGAUGGUUUGUAUGUGUGACCUCUGCUGCUGUUGCUUUCUAAAUGUAUUUUAAGUAUUGCAUGGGUUUGGGAGGGAAUUGUAUUUCCAGAUUAUUAUUAUUAUUAUUAUUAUUAUUAUUAUUAUUAUUAUUAUUUCGUGAUUUUGUACUUAGUGUAAGCUGCCCUGAGUGGUGCCAUGGGCACCAGCAGAGGAUUGGGGGGCGGCAGAACUUUUCCAUAUAAAUAAAUAAAUAGCAUUUGACCAUGCCUAGAAUUCUGAGAGCCUCCUGAGACUUCAAAGGUAGAGGACUUCCUUUAUAAAUGAGACUGGUUCCUUUAUCUGAUCCUUAAAGACUUGCCUUUGAAUUCUUCUUCCCUCAAAUAGGAGUUGGUUAGACUGAACUGGAAGAAGCGGCCACUGAGUGAAUCUUUUAACAGAUCAGCACUUGAAAGGCAAUUUCAAGUGCUAAAGAAAAAGAGAGACUUGCUUCAGAAGUAGUUUUUUUAAAAAAUGGGAAGGAAAAUGUGGGCACCGUCAGAAAUGUAAAUGUGCUCCUAGCAUCUGAAAAUUCCACCUGCUUUGCAGAACGUUUUCUGACAUCUUCAUUAAUUGCAAUUCUGCUAAUAAGUGAGGGGUGAAAUAGGCAACUUUUCUCUUGAGGUAGUCUGGUGGCCCCACUGAUAAAGAACCAGCCUGUUACAGGUGUUGCAUGGGGAGCUAAUUUCUGUUUGAGUUCCGAAACAUUCAAAAGCCAAGGCACAAAGGGCAGUCUGUAAAUUUAAUUGAGAAAAUUGAGAAACAUGCAGUGGAAGUCGUUCGACUUCCAAGGCGUGUUUGAAAAUGGAAGCAUUUACUUCCGGGUCUUUGGCGUUUGAAAACCGAAACGUUCGUCAACGGAGACGUUAGAAAACCAAGGUACCGCUGUAUUAAGAAAAAUUACAUACAAACUGUGUAUUAGAAAUCCACAUUAAAAUGCUGGCGAAUUUCCAUGAGAACUUGCUUUUUAAUAAUAAUAAUAAUAAUAAUAAUAAUAAUAAUAAUAAUAAUUGAAGACAUGGAGAAAUUGAAAGGGACACAUUCACCCAUUCUUACCACCAACCCAGAACUACAGUAUUUUAGGGCACAAAGCCAGGAUGACCACGGAGGAGGAUGUUAUCAUGAGAGCGCUGAAUUUAAGUGAUUAUUCUUCAUGUUCCGGAACCCAAGUAAAUAUGUCUGAAGCUUAGGGAAAAUCAGUCUGUUUCCAGUUCAAGUCGCUUCUGCCCAUGUUCCUCUGGAAGUCCAUUUCUUCAGUUAUCCAGGAAUUGGGGGGGGGGGGGCUGCAUGAAAAAAUUCUAAAUGUGUUUUCUGAAUACACAUUAUUUUGUUAAUGAACUGGGAUCUGAAUUAGAACAUUUGGGAAAUACAAAACUGAGUGGAUAACAUAGGUGGUAAUCUGAACCUCACCUACUUAAGAGCGAGUGCCACUGAAUUUAAUAGGACUUGGCAGAGGAGUGAAGGGAAUUGUACUUAGACAGGUUGGUAGAUAGGUGGAACAGGGCUGCUGGGGAGCUUUCUUCAGCUUAGAUUUUGAUCUGAUCUGAGCCAGAGAAGAAUCUGGGUUGUUUUUUUAAAAUCUCACUUCCUUUUUGCGGAGGGCUUCUAUGAGCUUCCAAAGUGGGUAUCCAAGUUUAGCCAGAAAGCAUGUCACCAAUACCUCUGAUUCUUGGGUCCUGAAUAAAUGGGGUGCCGCUGUGGUCUAAACCACUGAGCCUCUUGGGCUUGCCGAUCAGAAGGUCGGCGGGUUCAAAUCCCCACGACGAGGUGAGCUCCCAUUGCUCUGUCCCAGCUCCUGCCAACCUAGCAGUUUGAAAGCACACCAGUGCAAGUGGAUAAAUAGGUACCACUCUGGCAGGAAGGUAAACGGCAUUUCCGUGCACUGAUCUGGUUUCUCCAGAAGCGGCUUAGUCAUGUUGGCCACAUGACCCGGAAAAACUGUCUGUGGACAAACGCUGGCUCCCUCCGCCAGUAAAGUGAGAUGUGUGCCGCAACCCCAGAGUCGUCUGCCACUGGACUUAACUGUCAGGGGUCCUUUUGUUAGAAUUCCUGCUUCGUGAUUGCAGUCAUGGGAUUGUUGUCUAUCGCAUGACUGUAUAAGUUCUGACUCCCCAGAGUGGGAAGUGACGGAGACAGGAUGUUUGUGUUACUAUUUUCCAUGAAGUGGGACUAUUGUCCUUUGUUCUUUUUAUCUUUGCUGUCUGAUACUAGAGAGAGAGGGAGCCAUGUUGCAGUGCUCCUUGUGUGCUUAUAUGUAAAUUAAGUAGAUUAGCCAAAAUGCUGAGUUGCUGAGGUCUGUUACGCAAGCUGCGAAGACUCUGUGGAUCCCUAAGUGUGCCAAUGUCUGUUGGCAUUGGUUGCUGUGAUGUUCAGGCUGAAGCUCCCGAACAAACAACCAGGAGGGAGAGAACAUGCCAGUCAGGCAUGUGUCUCUGCCAGAGUCCUACUUGAGUGUAGGAUGAGCUCCUGACACCUUUACCUUUUUUUUUUUAAGACACAAGGAGUCAUCCCCCUAUUUGCCGUCUAAAUUGUUGUCAUCUUAGCAGGGCUGUAUCACAUGAUUCUGCUUUGGAAUAGACUGGCAGUAAGAGACUGCUGCAAUCAUGAGUACAUAGAUGGGCUCCUAUGAGAAAAGCAAAGAAGAAUGAGUAGCCUUCAUACUGGGGAGGGGUGUCUGUAACAGAUUGUCAUGAAAUCCAAAAGUGGCCUGAUGUAUAGUGCUGUUGAUUAUGUGCCAAGCAUUUCUAAUCCCAUUCUAUAUUCAGGGGUGACAAUGGCUGUAAUGAAUAGGAAGUGGAACAUUAUGAAUUCAUUCUUGUGAUGAUAAUUGUAACGAGAAUAGUGAUUGGUACUGCAAAUCGAAUCCAUCCUUGUGACAAUUUGAAGAUGGCAAUUUGGUUGCUAUGUUGUGAGUCUACCAAAGUAGGUAUUGAAGCUGUAGAAAGGAAUGAGACUCUAGGCAUUCCACGGGAGAAAAUAAAGCCUUAAUUGGAAUGAAAUAUGAAUGUUUGUGCUCUUUGUCCUGGUACCCGCAAAUUUCCAAGUAUCAUCUACACAACUAAGGUGUGAAAGGAAAGAGGAGGGGCAGGGGAUCCGCUAAAAUAAUAGUCAGUGUCUCUGAAUUCUCUACAGUAUAAUGACAUGUACUCAAUUUAACAGAGGAGAGAAAUCCAUGAAAGAUCCACAUUGAAAAAUGUGAUGAACAUACACUGAUCUGUCUCUUUACCAUCUCUCUAUCUUUCUACUAUCUAUUUAUCAUCUAUCUAUCUAUUUAUCAUCUGUCUAUCUAGCUAGCUAGCUAGCUUUCUAGUUCUCUAACUUUCUAUCUAUCAUUUGUCAAACAUCUAUCUAUCUAGUUACCGUUCGAAAACAUUUUUAUGAUUAUCAUCAUGAAAAAGACAAUGUGGAUGACUUUCAAGAAUAAAUAGAUUUACAGAAACAAAAAAAAGAUACUUGAACUCCAAACAAGAAGGCACAACAUCAGCUUUAGACAACUGUGGGUCCUUGGAGAGGACACCCACAGUGGAUUUUCCUUAAAAUAUGAUGGGAGGUGAGAGAAUCAAAAUAGCAUCCACCCCUUCUGUGUCACCCAGAGUGGGCCACUUCCAAGUUGCCCAGCAUAAAGCCAGGAAGUGUCUUUCCCCUCUAUGAAUUUCUGUGUAUUGCAAAUCGCUUGGAAGGCUUAGGGUCUCUCACUUCAUGGUAGAUGAAGCAUGGAAGAAUAGGGGGGAGGGGGUAGCUGCUGGAGUUUUGCUCACUGUCACCUAUCACCACCAUCCCAGGAGGGGGAAGCAAUUGGCCAGGCCAUAUGGGUGAGGAAUUAUAGGACUGGAAAUGCCAUCUAGUCCAACCCAAUGCUGAUGUAGGAAAUCCACAACUGCUGCAUCCCUAAUAGGUGUCAGGGAGUCUUGAUAACAAAACAAGCGUAGUUAAUUAAAAGGAAGAUUUAUUGCAAAGAAACAACAACUUUCAUUGGAGUGGUGAGCACAGACAUCUGUCCAUUAAUCUAAGAUAUCGCUCCUAAGGCGAGUGUUUCCGGCGAGGCCAGAAACAGCCAAACUUCCUCUUGUGAUGUGUUCUGUCUUGAAGACCCCCCAUACGCCUAGACCUAGGGGAGAAGGGGUCAGCUCCCACCUCUUUCUUAUUCUCUGAGAGUUUACUUCCAUGCUGUUUCCCACUUCCUAAGCUGGUUUCAUUUCUAACUCCUGCAUUUUGCUCUUCGCUAGCAUGCUGGCUCUCUAAUAGGUUUUUAUCAUUUGGCAUUCCUACGGGUGGGGGAGUUGGCUCACGGCUAUAAUCCUCUUGUUUUGUAGUUAACCCUCUCUCCUCCUGGCUCCUCUCUUGACUGGGAACUAGCUGCAAACUUCUCCUGGGGUCUGGCUCAUUCAUGACACCCAGCUUCUGCUUAAGAAAUAACAAAGGAAAACCAUCACUUUCCGAGACGGUCUCUUCCAGUGUUAGAGAAGCAGGAGCAGUUUCUACCUCCAUCUUCCUCACCUUCUCUCCCUGGGCUUAAGGAUAUUGUGCAUUAGCAGCAGGUGGAAAGGAGGAGCAGGAGGAGCAGGAAUGCUGGUUGACAGAGGGAACCAACCAUGCCAGUUUUGAUUCUGAAUCCAAGGCAGGAGAAGUAAGCCUGGUCCCCUUCCGGUCCAUUUGGGACUUCCAUCAGCCCAAGCCAGCGUGGUCAUUAGCCAGGGAUGAGGGAAACUGUGGUCCAACAACAUCUGGAAGAUCCUAGGUUGACCACUCCUAGUUUAAGUGCAGGUUGGAUACUUAUUACAGAAGUAAAGAGAGAAUUCUAGCAGUCCUAUUCAACUGUGGCAUCAGUCCAGAAUACACCAGCUUUUGGUCAUGGAUUCAAAUACCAAGGUUGUAUUCAACAUAGCGUUAAGCAGAUUUAUUGUUGUGCAAUGGAAUUAUUUUCCUUCUCAGUUGCCCCCCUAAAUUUUGGGCUCCCCCCUCCCAAUCCUCCAGAGCAUUUGGGGAUAGCACAGGUCAUGGGCUGGAGAAGAGAGGAGGAUAAUCCUCUUGCACCAGCACAAAAAAUGUAGUUGAAUAUUGCCCAAAGUUAUAAAUAUAGAAAUGAAUGCUAAAACACAGGCCAUGUUUCUACAGCUGUGACCUGUUUAGCGGAGUUUUAUGAAUUGGUCCUUCAGAUAAUUUUGAUUAGUUUACUAUAUAGAGUUCCAUUUUCACUGUCUUCUCAAUGUGCUAACAUUUGCAAAUGAGUUCAAAAUAUUUUGAUACGUUUUGAUCUUGGAUCUGAAUUAAGACCAAAUGAUGUCUAGUAUGUACCUAAUUAAGGCUUGCAUUUGGAGGAAGGAUUCAAUUUUGCUUUUAAGGGGUAAUUUAUAGCUAUCAAGUGCCUGUUCCAUUAAAAUAUUAAGAUAAUAUUCUGGAAUCGUUAAAAUAAAAUAUGUGUUUUUCUUUUUAAAAGAGAAUGACAGCUUGCAAUUAUUAUGUUCAGCUGUAAAAAUAAAAAAUACUUGAAGUUGAAAGUGCUUCGAAAAAACAGUGACUUGUAUUGGUGUUGUCACCUUCAUAAGUCACGGGCGGUCUUUAUCAAAUUUUUUAAAAAGAACGUUAUUGAUUUGCUUAGGAGAAAAUGUAUUUAAAAAGUGCCCCAGUGGUGUAGUUCUGCUUAUUAUGAAAACACUAAAUAGCUGAGGGGCAUUAAAAUAGUAUUUGAGGGGGAAAGGAAUCUAUUUUUAACAAAUUAGCUUUGAACCAUUUGUCCAGAGAAUCCAUGUUUUCAAUCUAUGCCACCGUUUGGGAUGUAAUUGAAAACCAGCUCUCUAUCAUGCUUAAGUCGCCCCCAGUGUAGUACGAUUCACUGUAGGGUGCAUGAGUAUUGGGGAACUUGUAAGAAGUGUCAACUGGAAUGUUAUUAAGUGAAACCACAGGGGUCGGGACAUGGUUGUUAAUGAGUAGCACUCCUUCCUGUGUAAGCAUUGGCUGAAGCCAUGAUCCUGAGCAUCUUUAGUCUCACUGGGACUCCUUUGCAAGUUAAUGGAUGUAGGGCUAAAGUAGUUAUUCAAAUGGAAGCGUUAUCACUUUACCCAGUUGUUGGUAGAAAGUCAAGGUGGAGAGUGGAGUGGGGUGGGGUGGGGACGAAAGAAUGGCUUGGAUCAAAAUGUAAAUGUAUCUGCUGGGAAUAGAUUUUCAAUUUCUGUAAAUGGUGUGCAAAGCUCUGUUACUGGAACACGCUGCAUUAUUUUCUGUACACCGUGAUCAAUAAGCAGGAAUUGAUUAUUUAGGGAGCACAUCUAUAAUGGCAUAGAAAUAAUGGGGACCUAGCAGAAUAAACACAGGGUUGCAUUUUAAAAUGUGCUUGGGCAGAGAAUGUACGGUACUGGGAAUGCACUCAGCUUCAUUAGGAGGAAAAUAAAUGGGCCCAAGCUGGGUAUAGAAGCAAACUGAGGAUCAUCCCGGGGGGAUGCCAUUAGAAAUAUUUUAUGAAGGCAAAGCCAACCUACAAUGAAAUGGCCAAUUAAAAGUCGAAUGAAGUCCGGCCCAAUAAAAAUAUCUUUAGCAAGCUAUGGAAAGAGCGUUGAUGGGUUUUUAGAGGAAAGGAAUUCUGUAGUAGCCAAUCAGAACUGGAUACAUGGAUGGAAUAAGUAAACAAGCAUUGGAUGAUACUAGCACUAAUCCAUUGCUAGGGCAAGGAUUAGUGCUAGUAUUCAACAUUCCCCUCCUCUCCUCCCCCAAAUGUGCUCCAGUUGUGUUGGAAGAACCCCCCAUAACAAAUUUAGGGGGCUCACAAGGAGAGGGGAGAGGGAGAACCUUCUGUUGUGCAAGGAGAAAUCUUUGCACCAAAGAACAAUUUGCUUAGUGCUACAUUCUCAGCUUAUUUGAGAUACAGAAAUAGAAUGCAGGGAAAGAAAGAGUGUCUUGUGUUGUUUGAGAUCUGGAUCACUUAGAGUUUGUAGAUUGAAGCUACAGUGGUACCUUGGGUUAAGAACUUAAUUCAUUCUGGAGGUCUGUUCUUAACCUGAAACUGUUCUUAACCCGAGGUACCACUUUAGCUAAUGGGGCCUCCUGCUGCCGCCGCACUGCCGCCGCGCUAUUUCUGUUCGCAUCCGGAAGCCAAGUUCUUAGCCCAAGGUACUAUUUCUGGGUUAGCGGAGUCUGUAACCUGAAGCGUCUGUAACCCAAGGUGCCACUGUAGUGCCUUGAAUUGUAUUCAGAAAAAUGGAGACACAUUUCAGAUGUUGGGGUUGUGGUGUAGCGUGUUCCUGAUAGCCUACCCAUACAAGGAAGUGCAACAUUCUGUUUUGAUAUGAUGAAGUUCCUGAGCAGUCACAACUUUUUCAAUUAAAUAUUUAGAGGCAGAGAAACUGAUUGAAAUACUCAUUCAGGGCAUAACAGGAUAAUAGAAAGAAUACAGUCAGAAACACAUGUGGACUAGGAAGAGAAAUUCUGGUGCUCCUCCCAUGAAAAAAAAAUGAGUAAUGGGUGUUAGGGUAUGAGACUAACAAGCAAUUACCUAAGUGAGUACUCAGAUUUAAUUUCAUCUCAUCUGUCUGCCUAUAAAAUUGGGAAGAACUGCGGAAGUGCACAUUCAUGGUGUGUUGCGAUUUUCUCUCAGCAUAUGCCACUGGACAUGAUGGGGACAGUGACAGAUCUCAUUUCUUUAGCCACAACUCUCUCUCCCUUUCAUGCUUGCUGUCAUUUUAUAAAGACAAUAUAUUCUUUUUUUUAUUAUUUUGUACAGUGGAUGCUCAGGUUGCAAACGGAAUCUGUGCCGGAUGCACAUUCGCAACCCGCAGCAUUCACAACGCACAGCGGCGGCAUGUAUGCGCAUGCGCGGGUUGCGAUUCGGUGCUUCUGCUGAAAGCGCGAUUUAGUGCUUCUGUGCAUGCGCAACCCCUGAAACCCAGAGGUAACCCGUUCCGGUACUUCUGGGUUUUGGCGGGUGCGUAACCCCCCCAAAAAUGCAACCUGAAGCGGCUGUAACCCAAGGUAUGACUGUAUGGGGUUGGGAUGUUUUGCACACCCAAGAAAUUGUUCCCCGUGCAUUUGGAAUAGUGUCCCUAUGUGCAUAGAAGCAUGCCGGGUGGUUUGUUUGUCUCCCCCUUCUAAGUUUAAGGAGAAUGAAAGCUGAGGGGAAGAUGAAACAGGCCGUUUCAUAGAAAUAGCAUGGCUGAGCAGGAGUGCAACGAUUAUUUCAUACCUGUGAGUGGAGAAAACAACAGGCUGCCAAGAAUCCCUAAAAACAAGCACAAAAAAUGUGACAGUAGCAUCCUAAGCAAAGCAAGGGGAGCAGGUUUGAAGUGAUAACUAUGGAGAUAACUUCCAGGUGCUUUGAACAGGUGAGUUCAUCAGAAACGGAACCACAUUUUGUCUCGGGCUUUAAGAUCUUGAAGGUUUUCAGGGUAAGUCUAAGCCAAAAUACCCUCCCUGUUUCCAGAGGCGAAAACAGGGAGAGGAAAGGAGGGACCCCCAGUGUCAACCGCCAUUUCCCCCAGAAUGCCCUUGUGGAUGAUGCUAUAUGAUGAAGCAAGGUCGCUGAUUGCAGCUUUGUGAAGGGAAAAUGGCAAACAGUGACUGAUAGCUGCCGCUGGGAAAACAGGCAUUACGAGCAAGCAAUAGCAGAAAGGUAGAUUAAAACAGAUGAUUCAUUUAUUUCAGAAUUUAUAAACUACUCUACAUUCAGAGAAUACCUUGGCAGUGUUCAGAAACAGAUUGUAAAAUGGAAUGCAGAUGUAUCACAGAACAGUACUAAAACCAGCAGGAAUUAAAAGCUGAAGAAAUGAAAUAACAGUUACUUGGGAAUGCUUGGAGCAACCUUGUUUUCUGCUGCUCCAGAGGGUAGGACAUUAGGACGAAUUUUCUGGUGGUAUUCUGUUUGAUAAUGUAAUAGACUGCCUCAGAUGGUAGUAGGCUAUUCUUUACUGGGUUUUUUAAAAAACAAAUUGGAUGGCCAUCUUUCAGCAAUUCUUUAGCUGUGAUUUCUUUUCCAACUCUUCAAUUUUAUGAUGGGCCCAAAGUUCGAACUUUUGGCCACCUUCAUUCUGAGUAUGUUUACGGGUUAGCAUUUUUACCCUCAUUCCAAGACUGUCGGUUCUAAAUAAAGUUAGAUAUAUAUAUAGCUACUUAUUUAUGUUCCCAGUAGUUUCUUCUUAGUGUUAGAACUAGUAUUAUUGCCAACUUUCAGUUGAAAAAACUUCACCUGAUCGUUAACUGCAAAAAUAUUUCUUUGAAGCUCGAGAAGGUGAUGAAUAAAAACUAGUAGGUAGCUCAUAAUUUGUAAUGUGCUCACCAAAUAAUGAACCCAGUAAUAUAAACUCAGGUGGAAGUUCACUGUUGUGAUAUAUUUUAAAAAUAUGCUUGUUUUUGUUUCGUUUUUGCACAUGCAGCUGGGAAAUGUGGUGUGCAUAAGGUAAAAAAGGUAAAGGACCCCUGGAUGGUUAAGUCCAGUCAAAGGAGACUAUGGGGUUGCGGCGCUCAUCUUGCUUUCAGGCUGAGGGAACUGGCGUUGUCCACAGGCAGCUUUUGGGUCAUGUGGCCAGCAUGACUAAACUGCUUCUGGCACAAUGGGACACCGUGAUGGAAGCCAGAGUGCAUGGAAAUGCUGUUUACCUUCCUGUCGCAGCAGUACCUAUUUAUCUACUUGCACUGGUGUGCUUUCGAAAUGCUGGGUUGGCAGGAGCUGGAACAGAGCAACGGGAGCUCACUCCGUCAUGGGGAUUCAAACCACCGACCUUCCAAUCAACAAGCCCAAGAGGCUCAGUGCUUUAGACGACACAUGCCACCUGUGUGCAUCAAAACAUCAGAAGAGUCCUGUUAGGUCACUGCAAUGAACCAUCUAGUCCAGCAUCCUAUUCUCACCUUGCCCAACCAGAUGCCUGUGGAAAACCGUCAAGCAAGACCCAAGCACAAGAGCACUUUCCCCUCCUGUGGUUUCCAGGAACUGGUGUUUGGAAAAGUACUGCCUCUGAUCAUGGAAGCAGUGCAUAGCCAUCAUGACUAGUAGCCAUUGAUAGCCCUCCAUGACUUUGUGCAAUCUUCUUUUAAAGCCAUUUAGGCUUGUGGCCAUCACUGCCACCUUUGAGAAGGAGUCCAUUAGUUUAACUGUGUGUGUGUGAAGUACUUAAUUUCAUCUGACCAAAAGUGCAUGCAUAUUCCCAAUAAGACUUUUUCAUUUCCUUCCCACAGUAAAGGGAUAUGUCAAAGCUGGCUGGAUCAAAGCCAGAGCUCAUAGUACAUUAGAUAAUUCUGACACCUGCAAGAUUCGAGUUACAAGCUGACCCAUUUCAAGUUUCAGCAGUGUCACUUAGAAUGACUUCUGUGAAACUGCUCUGGGGAAACUGAUGUGAGGUUCCCUAUACUGUGGGGAUGUCAUUAUGAUGACACCCCCCACAGUAUAGAGAGGCCACCCUGGAAACGUACCUCGACGUUCCCAUGUGGGCAGAACUGUCAAAGGGUGUAGUGCUGAACUGUGAAGAAUUUUGUAUUUCUCUUAGUGCUCUUUCUCUGUUUCCCUUGAAAUCUGCUCUGUUGUUUGCUGCUUUUAAGAGAAUUGAGAGGACAUACUACCCAAAGGUCUAUUAGAGCACUAGGUGAAGGUAAAAGUAAAAGGUAAAAACUGCAAAAGGUAAACUGCAAAAAUAUUUCUUUGAAGCUCGAGAAGGUGAUGAAUAAAAACUAGUAGGUGGCUCAUAAUUUGUAAUGUGCUCACCAAAUAAUGAACCCAGUAAUAUAAACUCAGGUGGAAGUUCACUGUUGUGAUAUAUUUUAAAAUUAUGCUUGUUUUUGUUUCGUUUUUGCACAUGCAGCUGGGAAAUGUGGUGUGCAUAAGGUAAAAAAGGUAAAGGACCCCUGGACAGUUAAGUCCAGUCAAAGGUGACUAUGGGGUGUGGUGCUCAUCUUGCUUUCAGGCCGAGGGAGCCAGCAUUUGUCCACAGACAGCUAUCUGGGUCAUGUGGCCAACAUGACUAAACUGCUUCUGGCACAACGGAACACUGUGCCAGAAACCAGAGCGCACGGAAACGCCGUUUACCUUCCCACCACUGCGGUACCUGUUUAUCUACUUUUGAACUGCUAGGUUUGCAGAAGCUGGGACAGAGCAACAGGAGCUCACCCCAUUGUGCAGAUUCGAACCACUGACACACUUGGAUGCAUAUUUUCUGUACAUUAAGAUUGCCUUCUCAUUUUCUUAUUUUCUUUUACAACAGAAAGGAGAUGCAAAAGUGAUUCAACCUAUUCUCCUUCAGUUUCCAACCACAAAGGUCCAUAGAAUCCUGUGCUGUUGGCUGACAGUUCAGUUAAGUGAACUCCCCUGUGUCUCAGUAUGUCUCUCGUUUCCUUCCUCUUGGGGUUUGCUUUCAUCUUGUUGUGCAUGUCCCCACUCCGCUUUCUCUUGAAAGGCGACCAGGAGCGUGUCUGUUCCUGCAGGAUGAGUCAGAGUGCACCACCACCAACUUCUAAUGGCUUCAAUUAUUAACUAGACAGCAAAGGAAAAGAGGAAAGCAAUUGACAGCAUGACGCAGACAAUGCAGGCUAAGUUGUUUAAAUCAACUGUAGGCAUGUUCUAAUUUUGCCCCUUAUUAAUUCCCUGCCAGGAAACCACUGGCCUCAACCUUCUUCAGUCAUAAGUCCGUCCAAACCUUUGCACAGACAACAAACUGAAUGCAACGCUUUUGUCUCAUUACUGAAACCUCAGCUAUGUCAUGUAUUUCCUGCUAGAAAAGAAAAGAAAUAGCAACUCACUAAUUGAGAAUAUUGUGGUCACUGCUGAACUAGGUUAUCCUCUGAAUAAUUUGCUUCUUCUGUACCAGUCCGGCAUUCACAUUUAACAAUAAUGCAAUGUUGGUGCACACAAACAUUGAUGGUGAUACAACUGAGUUCCAACUGUGUCACAAAAUGAAUAUUAGAAAACAUAUUAUUUGGAAGCAAAUGAUGCGAAGAAAAGAAGGAACAUAUAACCGGCUUUCUCAGGUAAAAGAAAAUGUUUGCCCAUUAAUCAUCUUGAUUCACACCACUUCUUUCUUUUUUGGGUUUUCUUUUAUGCCUGCUCUUUGUAUGUGCCUCCUACAUUGGAGGGAUAAGGAAAGAAAAACAAAUGAGGAAACGUUUCCUAAUUGCCAAAACAGAAAGCAACAACAACCCAGAAGAACAAAUUAAGAAUGCUAGGGGAUAGAUAUUGGCAAGUAUCUGUUGUUAGUAGAUAGCUAUCUUGACAAUGGAGGAGAACUGCUUUCAAACAUGCCAAACAACACUUGAGCCAAGGAUACAAUUAACCAGUGCCAUUCCUACCUAACUGGCAUGGGGGUGAAUUUGCCACAUCCCCAGUCCCCUCCAAAGAAGACUCUCUUGGUUUUGCCCUGGGGAUAGGCUUGGGGAGCGUCAGGUGUCUGAAGUGAGCCAAUCAAUGGGAGGAGCAGAGCUGGUUUGCUCCUCCUCAGAUUGUACAGUCUGCUCUUCGCUACUCUCUCCCUCCCUCAAUAUGCAGUAUGGACUUGGGCUAGUCAUCUUUUUAAGGGAGCUGAGUAGGAAUUUCUAGGGGAGCCCUUUGACUGGCCCUGGACUCUCCUUUUUUGCCUACUUUAUACUCUUGUAAAUAUUGUGUUGUUUUUGUUAAGUUUAAUUGGGACUUAGUCCACCCAGAAAGACAGGUUAUGAGUUACAGGGUAAUCAAAUGAUACAAUAUUGGGUUAAGGGCACUCUUUGUCACCAUAUGCUUUCUUGAGUUCAUUGGGGUGAACCCUGAGCUGGUGAGGCUUGUUGACUUCACAUAUCCAAGGUACUUGGAGUAAGGAGGAGGGUUUCCUUCCAAUCCUUUUCUCCGACACCACCGCUGAUGCCUACAAACAGGCCCAUGAUUACGGAGGUUCUUCAACUCUUCAAAUUCGGAAGCUUCACUGCCCAGAAUAUAUUUUGAUUUGCUUAAUCAGGUUAUGUGUUUCUGUAGACCCUCAAAGUUGUUAAGAUUCAAUCAUCCAAAGAUCGUGUGCUGAGUCUUUAUUCCGAAUGCUAAUGCCUAUUUCUUAAGCGUAAGUAUGUGUCAAGUAUGGGAGGUCCCCUCUUCCCCCUAAUAGCUCAAACAUAGAUCGGCCUCCCUCUGCCAGGAUCAGAGUAGCUCACUCUGACUCCCCCCCCCAUUUUUGCAGCAAGAAGUGCGCCAACAGAAUGUCCCGCCUCCCCUGAGUCUCUUUUGCUCUCUGACAUGCUCAUAUGUCCGAGAUCGGGGGGUCCCCCGAUCCCCCCCCACUCUCUAUUGAUAUACCAGUUGCUCCCUCCCUUCUGGUUGCCAAACAACCAUCUCAAAGCUGGGCAGCUCUGUGGCUUCCUGUCUCUCUGUUUCGGGAAAUGUUGGAAGUGAGGGGGGAGAAUAGUCCCCCUCCUCUUCUGUUAGAAGUUGAUCUCCCUGUCCUCUCAGUCCUUGUCUUCAGAGUAUACUCUGUCAGUAUGGAUCCAUUUUACUCCAUUUCCACCUGUCUACUUAUGCAAGCAUGGGCACACACAGAGAGAGAGACUCAAGCCUGGCAACAGUGGUCAACUGGAUCAGGCACUGGUCAAGGGCCUAGGAGCUUGGAAGGGUCCCUCACAAGCCCAAACCAUUCACAUUAUCAUUCACCAACGUCUCCACCAGCCCCCUAAAUGCUUUUCAGUGGUGGGCAGCAGUGCCAUUUUGUAUGGGACCCAGGCUCAUUCCCCAUCUGUGGUGAUAACUCCUCAUUUUUUAAAAAGUGCAUGCACUGGGGCAUUGCAUUUUGGGUAACUUAAGAUGGCGUAGGGAGCUGAGCAUUCAUUCACAACUGAAGCAUGUCCUGAGGUCCAGAAGAAGGUGAGUGCUGCUGCCUAGGCCUGACCUCACAGCUGGCACUCUGCCAAGGCUACCCCCAAGUCUGGUGCCAGCCCAGUGCAGACUUGGAUCUAGACCUGCUCUUUCAUGAAUGGAAGGGCUCCUUCAAUCUGAACAAGGGUCUUUGGUCCAGUAGAGGUUCUGAUAAUGGAAGAAGCAGAUGACAAUUUCCAUCUAUUCCUUCUCUAGGUCCCCAGCAUCAUGUUCUGAAAUGUCAACCAGGCACCCGGAACAAAUUUUCAGAAGGCACAAUGGGCUGUAAGCAGAAAUUGAGAGGGAAACCCCUUUCUCACGUCCGCCACCUGGAAAUCUUUGGGAACAAUGAUCCAUUCACAGUACUGUAGUGUGCUCAAGUGGAAAAUAUCUACUAGUAAUGCCAAUAUGAAUAUUCCUUGCUUGAGGGUAAAUAUUGGUGCUCAGCUACAUGGAAAAUACAUGUGGAACUUUUUGCUGUCCACAGUAUACAAUAGAAGCUAUGCAUGUUUUCCACACAAAGACUGAAAUCUCCAGCAUCCAUCAUCUCCCAUAUCCAUAUUGACUGAGCAAUGUGCAGGAUCCCUGUCAAUUUGUGGACAUUCUCCACCAUAGUGUGAAUGUGCACCAUCAUCUGUAUUUACGGGCAGCCUCCAGAAAACUCACAGUAACUCAUCUUUGUCUGUCAGCUGCAAAAAUAAUUAUUUUAGAAGCUGCCAAUGCUUGAUUUGCACUAUAAUUGUAAAUGGGUGGUGGUGGUGGGGAUUUGCUGCUGAUUUGAAAAAAAAAAUGCCCCUGACAAGGUUACAUUAGUCAUGAACUCUCUAGUUUUAGAAGCCCAAACCUUUAAUCAUCCUGCAACUGCUGAAAAGGAAAUAUGGAAUGACUGCCAUUCUGCAUUUAUUCAAAUCGGCCACUCUGCUAUGCUCUCAGAAGAGAUUUUCACAGCUAUAGUGUCCAUCAAAGCGAAUUAGGGAUUUUUUUUUGGGGGGGGGAAUGUCUUUUAAUGCAAGAAAUGCCAGAUAUAACAAAGAAAUCAGCUUUAUUGGUGCCAUCACCUAAUCACAUUCUAUUGCUAAGACACCUGGCAGAUAUGCAGCCAGCAGAAAUAUCAGCCAAUGAAGCCAGCUUCGACAUUUCCCACUGAACGUUGGCUUAUAUGCUAUGAUGAUGGGUAGAGCUGAACAGCAGUGUGCACUUAAGAAAAAGCUGAUUAUCAGCUCUAACAAAUGAUAGAGCUAACUGUGCAUGGUUGCAGCAGUGCAGACAAUUGGCUAUCCAAGGCUAAGACCACAUCUGCUGGCACUGGCUGUACAGCUCAUGAUUGGCACCUGCCCUGAGUUCCUUUUAUAUUGCUUGUUGGCAAUUGUUUUUCACUCUCCUCUUGCUCUUCACAGGCUGCUGCCCCGCAUACAGUGGUACCUUGGUUCUCAAACUUAAUCUGUUCCGGAAGUCCAUUCCAAAACCAAAGCAUUCCAAAGCCAAGGCAUGCUUUCCUAUAGAAAGUAAUGCAAAACGGAUGGAUCCGUUCCAGACUUUUAAAAACAACUCCUAAAACAGCAACUUAACAUGAAUUUUACUAUGUAACGAGACCAUUGAGCCGUAAAAUGAAAGCAGUAAUCAAUGUACCAUGCCAUAAAAUAAAUAAGACAGUAUUGUAGAUGAUAAAAUAAAAUAAAAAAAUCUUACCUGCACUGAUGAUAGUCAUUGUUUGGAUGGGGGGCUUUUAUCCAUUUCCGCAGUCACACCAUCAAUCAAUCAGUAGCUGAAGUGGGUUCCACACAGUCUCAAAAACAAAUUAACCAAAAAAGCCUCAAAAACAAAAACGCCAAGUACAGUAGUACCUUGUUCUUGUACUUCUAAUUGGUGCAGGUGCCCCGGAAACAAUAGCCGACAGCUGCAUUGGUCGUUCAACUUCUGAAAAACAUUCAAAAACCAGAGCACUUACUUCAGGGUUUUCAACGUUUGGGAACCAAAGCAUUUGAGAACCAAGGUACCACUGUACGUAGGUAUCAUCCCACACCCUUCAGGCCAUAGCCCAGGAGUGUCUCACCCAGUGGGGUAGAAUUGUACCAAUAAACCGCUUCCAGUGUCAAGGGGCUGACAGGUUGAUCAGGUCAUUCCCAGGUCAGAAAGGGAGAUGCGAGGCUAAUGUGCAGUUAGUUUCUUUAUUAAGGGAAGGAAAAUAAAUACCAAACAUACUGAAGCUAAACAGGUGUAAGUAUGUCCAGUCCCUGGAUGGGAGAUUACCAUGCGCCCCAUAGAAGAAAAGCAAGGUAUAAAUAUAUUUUAAAAUAUGUAAUUGUUUUGUCUUAACCAUAAACAUAUAUAUGUAGCUCAACAACCCCACAGAAUGCAGGGGGGAAACGCCAUGCAUGUUAAAGGUAGAAGACUGAUAGAUACAGAUGAUAUAGCUGUAGCCAUGGAUAAUUGAUAUUUUAGUCCUUAGAUUUUUAUCGACAGGCAUCAGUUGCUAAACAAGCAAUUGGGAGGAUCGAUUAUAAAUUACAUUAUAUUUGCAGGCACUAAUAAAUGUGCUUUCUUUCUUUUAUAACCACUCUGCAGGAGUCUAAUAUUAUACAAAGCACUCAAGGUUUUCCCCCGUUGUUCCACAUGGCUACUACUCAAGGCACAAUUGUUGAAGAAAUCAUUGGGGGCUUUGUUUUUUAUUUCAUUUCAUUUUCAAUCAUGUUCUGCUCUGACCCUCCUUUUGCAAAUUCUAGUCACAAUUUUGGCCUCCAAAUUUUAUGAAAUACCCUCGCCUGCAAAUGAGGUUAUUUUAAUUUGCACAGUAGGAUUCAUGUGGCAAACUGCAAGUAGGGCCUAUAACAAAAUGUGACAGUGUGGAGUGUUAAGUUGUGGGUGAACAUAUCAGACAAUACAGUGAUUCUUCAAACAGCUCUUGUUUAUUCACAGGCCAGAACAGAACUGAACUGAAGGGUUCAGCCAACCUGCUUAUAUAGAGCUCAACUACAAGGCAACAGUAACAACUUUCUGUAACUAUCCAAUCGCUGAACGUCACUUCCAAUUCCUUAUUUGCAUAUGUGGACCUGAGUGAAAACUAUCUACAGUAUUCCCCUGCUGGCCCAGGGUGAGAACUUCAGUACAUAACAUGGAGUGCUCCUCUGCAGGCUUCCAACCUUUCCCAGUAUGUAUUCCAUCUCCCUCACUCCAAUUUUCCACCUCCCCCCACCAACAGCUGGUCAAUAUAUGAAGAGCCCCGUUGCCAUUAGACGAAGCUCCACCCGUUCUGGAUUCCGACAACCUCCUUCUUCUAGGAGCCAACCAGAUGCCCCAAGGAAGCCCACAACCAGGGCUAGCAAGCCAUCAUUUGCUGCUGCUGUUCCAUAUCUAUUCAGAGACAUAUUGCCUCUAAUAAUGCCAGCUUGGAAACGAGCUUUGGGGACUUCUAAAAUGUAUGGAAGUGAGAGCUGGACCAUAAAGAAGGCUGAUCGCUGAAGAAUUGAUACUUUUGAAUUAUGGUGCUGGAGGAGACUCUUGAGAGUCCCAUGGACUGCAAGAAGAUCAAACCUAUCCAUUCUUAAGGAAAUCAGCCCUGAGUGCUCACUGGAAGGACAGAUCCUGAAGCUGAGACUC